GGAUAACUACGGAAAAGCUGUAGCUAAUACUUGCUUUAGCACUCUUGAUUCAUUUCUUGAGUGUGUACUUGUUAAGCCUUUUAAGAAAAAAGUUAUUAACUUAAGGAAUUAUAACAAAGAAGCGACACGUAAUGGAUCCGUCCAUUUUUAGUGUGUAUCAAUCGAGUUUCUGACCUAUCAGCUUUUGAUGUUAGGGUAUUGGCCUAACAUGGCUAUGACGGGUAACGGGGAAUUAGAGUUCGAUUCCGGAGAGGGAGCCUGAGAAAUAGCUACCACAUCUAAGGAAGGCAGCAGGCGCGUAAAUUACCCAAUUCUAAAGAAGAGAGGUAGUGACAAGAAAUAACAAUACAAGGCCAAUCUGGCUUUGUAAUUGGAAUGAUGGGAAUUUAAAACCUUCCCAAAACUCAAUUGGAGGGCAAGUCUGGUGCCAGCAGCCGCGGUAAUUCCAGCUCCAAUAGCGUAUAUUAAAAUUGUUGCAGUUAAAACGCUCGCAGUUGAAUUUCAAAGAAUCGAUAUUUUAAGCAACGCUUCUAGCUUAAUCCACAUAACUGAUACUUCGUAUCGACUUUGUGCGCAUUUUGCUAUUAUGUGUUCUUUUAAUUAAAAUGAUUCUUUUUAAGGACUUUCUUUGCUUCGGCUUGGAAGUCCUUGUUACUUUGAGUAAAUUAGAGUGUUCAAAGCAAACAGAUAUAGCAUUGCGCGUUUGAAUACUACAGCAUGGAAUAACAAAAUUGAACAAGUCAGAAUUUUUGUUCUUUUUUCUUAUUUUGGCUUAGUUACGAUUAAUAGGAGUAGCUUGGGGGCAUUUGUAUUCAGAUGUCAGAGGUGAAAUUCUUAGAUUUUCUGGAGACAAACAACUGCGAAAGCAUUUGCCUAAAAUACUUCCAUUAAUCAAGAACGAAAGUUAAGGGAGUGAAGACGAUCAGAUACCGUCGUAAUCUUAACCAUAAACUAUGCCGACUAGGCUUUGGAUGAAAGAUUUUAAAAUAAGAAUUUUCUCCUCGGAGUUUAUUCUUAGAUUGCUUCCUUCAGUGCCUUAUGAGAAAUCAAAGUCUUUGGGUUCUGGGGCGAGUAUUCGCGCAAGCGAGAAAGUUAAAAGAAUUGACGGAAGGGCACCACCAGGCGUGGAGCUUGCGGCUUAAUUUGACUCAACACGGGAAAACUCACUAGUUUAAGACAAGAGUAGGAUUGACAGAUUAAUAGCUCUUUCUUGAUUUCUUGGAUGGUGAUGCAUGGCCGUUUUUAGUUCGUGAAUAUGAUUUGUCUGGUUAAUUCCGAUAACGAACGAGAUCUUAACCUGCUAAUUAGCGGCAAAUACGAUAUAUUCUUACGUGGGACUGAAUUCGGUUGAUUUGCUUACUUUGAAGAAAAUAUUGGGAAACGUAACAGUUUCCCUUUCCCUUUUCUACUUAGUUCGCUUUUCAUACUGUUUCUUUUUCGCGUAAGAAUGUAUUUGCUUGAUUGUAAAGCUUCUUAGAGGAACGAUGUGUGUCUAACACAAGGAAGUUUAAGGCAACAACAGGUCUGUGAUGUCCUUAGAUGAACUAGGCUGCACGCGUGCUACACUGAUAUGUAUAACGAGUUAUUAAAAUUACGAUUCAGCUUGCUGUUUCGUAUUUUUCCUCCACUGAAAAGUGUAGGUAAUCUUUAUCAGUACAUAUCGUGAUGGGGAUAGAUUAUUGCAAUUAUUAAUCUUGAAC
rnacentral:rRNA from 1 species